GACGAACGCUGGCGGCGUGCCUAAUACAUGCAAGUAGAACGCUGAAGAGAGGAGCUUGCUCUUCUUGGAUGAGUUGCGAACGGGUGAGUAACGCGUAGGUAACCUGCCUGGUAGCGGGGGAUAACUAUUGGAAACGAUAGCUAAUACCGCAUAAAAUUGAUUAUUGCAUGAUAAUUAAUUGAAAGAUGCAAUUGCAUCACUACCAGAUGGACCUGCGUUGCAUUAGCUAGUUGGUGAGGUAACGGCUCACCAAGGCGACGAUACAUAGCCGACCUGAGAGGGUGAUCGGCCACACUGGGACUGAGACACGGCCCAGACUCCUACGGGAGGCAGCAGUAGGGAAUCUUCGGCAAUGGGGGGAACCCUGACCGAGCAACGCCGCGUGAGUGAAGAAGGUUUUCGGAUCGUAAAGCUCUGUUGUAAGAGAAGAGCGGGUGUGAGAGUGGAAAGUUCACACUGUGACGGAUCUAC
rnacentral:rRNA from 1 species